UGUGGAGUAGCUCAGUUGGUAGAGCAGAGGCCCGAUAAGCCUUUGGUCCCUGGUUCGAGUCCAGGCUCCACAA
rnacentral:tRNA from 1 species